UGGGGAAUAUUGCACAAUGGGCGCAAGCCUGAUGCAGCCAUGCCGCGUGUAUGAAGAAGGCCUUCGGGUUGUAAAGUACUUUCAGCGGGGAGGAAGGCGAUAAGGUUAAUAACCUUGUCGAUUGACGUUACCCGCAGAAGAAGCACCGGCUAACUCCGUGCCAGCAGCCGCGGUAAUACGGAGGGUGCAAGCGUUAAUCGGAAUUACUGGGCGUAAAGCGCACGCAGGCGGUCUGUCAAGUCGGAUGUGAAAUCCCCGGGCUCAACCUGGGAACUGCAUUCGAAACUGGCAGGCUAGAGUCUUGUAGAGGGGGGUAGAAUUCCAGGUGUAGCGGUUAAAUGCGUAGAGAUCUGGAGGAAUACCGGUGGCGAAGGCGGCCCCCUGGACAAAGACUGACGCUCAGGUGCGAAAGCGUGGGGCUCAAACA
rnacentral:rRNA from 1 species